GCAAAACUUGUGCUUAAUCCAAGCAUCUAUUAUAAUGAAAUGUUCUGAUUUAAUCAAAACAUUUUCUAAGAUGAUUUAAAAUGGAAAUGACCAAGUAAGAUUUAUACUAUCCUAAAGAUUAUUCUGUUUUACAAGCAAGAUUUCUAUUAUCAAUACCCACUAUUGAAAUUAAAUUCCAACCAAAUGUGUUUCUUACAUUUAGGACACUAGAAAAAUCGUGAAGCCAGUUAAAUAGCAAAAGUUCUGGCAUGCGGCAUCCAUUCUGUAAAAAGUACUCCCUCAUAGGGAGUUAUGGUGGCAUCAUCUACCUUUAGCUUCUUGGGUAAAUUUCUUUUGAAGCUUUCACUAGUCCUUCUUUCUUCUUACUUCAUACUUCUCACAUUAUGUUUUAAAAUUCUCUGAAAAAAGAAAUAAAAUAUGCAGGUUACAAAUUUGAUGAAAUUGGAAACAGGGAAGACAACAUUAUUUAUCCGUGAUGGGGUCAAUGAAGUUGGCAUGCUUCAAGAGGCUGAUGAUGGAGUUUGUAUUAACAGUACUGAAGGGAUGCAUUGUCUAGAGAGAUACAUUUGAUUAUACCUAUCUGGGUUGUUCUUUUACCUGACCUUAAAAAUUGAAGAAACUUUUUAAUUUAACUUGGGAAGUAUUUUAAAGAGCUUAUCAAAAUAAACUCUUUUUAGCUUAUUCUAUUAAGUUUCAUGAUCAAAUGCCAUCAGGCUAACAUUUGUUGGGAUAAAAACCUAUCUUUAAGAACCAAUAUUCACAAUAAGCUUGUUCAGCUUGUUUAAUGACAACCAAAAUGCAAUUUAGAUAGAUUGCACCUAAAGUGGGGAAAUUUGAGCCUUGUAAGAAGAAAGUUGGUUGUAAUUUUUUUUGUCGGGUUUGGUGUUCAGUGGAGUGAUGAUCAUAUUUACUCAAUCUGGAGGCUGAGCCCUUUUUAUGAACUCUGAAAUAAGUUCGAUGUGAUUGACAUAUAUGCAUACUACCUUGUGGAUGGAUGUUGGGAAAUCUAAUUAAAACAGUACCUAAUGUGUAAUACCAUGCAUCCAUCAAUUUUAUUGUUCACCUGCAAAUGCAUCCAAUUUUAGUUGCCUAACGAUAUUCUGAAAUGAAGACUCGAUUAUUUUAAUUUUUUUAACCCUUUCAGUGUUGCUUUGUUCUUCCAGCUGAAAAUUGAUCUUAUAAUUGGGGUAGGAAAUGCCAAAUUCAGAAAAAUGUGUGUUCACAUUCAAAUAGAAUUGAUACAAUAAUUACAUAAUUACAACAAUACAAUCAUGCAAGAUAUGCUGGUUUGAAGGACCAACAAAUUUGUGCAAUUAAUGAUAAAUAAUCUUGCAACAAAUUUGUACAAUUAAUGAUUUCUUACAGCAUUUCAAAUCUCAAUUCUGUGUCAAUAUUCUUGGAUGCCAACAACUCACUUGAUCUCAUCACAACCUUCCUGUGCCAGACGAACCACAUACCUCAACCAAUCAUACAUAUAUAAGACUCUAAAACAAAAUUUAUAAAGCAAAACCAAUGGUCAAGCUAUUGAUUUAAGGAAAACAGAGUGCACAUUACACAACUACCAUCAAAAUCAAUGGUCAAGCCUACUGAUUAAGGAAAACAGAGUUUACAAAACACAACUAACUUCAAAAUCAAUGGUCAAAAGCUACUGAUCUUGUUAACUUGUUUUGCACCAACGUGUCUUGCAACUGUAUUAUGUUGGUUCUAUUAAAAAAGACGAAACCAAGAAAAACAACACCUCUUGUCAUUCAAUUUUGUUUCGUUGUGUGCACCCUAAACAAAACAUAAAUAAGCCUAACUUUUUUUUUUUCUUAAAAAA
rnacentral:lncRNA from 1 species